rnacentral:tRNA from 1 species
AGAAAUUUAGGUUAGCACAAACCAAGGACCUUCAAAGCCCUAAACAGGAUUUACUCCUAAUUUCUG